rnacentral:rRNA from 1 species
CGCGGCCUAUCAGCUUGUUGGUGGGGUAAUGGCUCACCAAGGCGACGACGGGUAGCCGGCCUGAGAGGGUGACCGGCCACACUGGGACUGAGACACGGCCCAGACUCCUACGGGAGGCAGCAGUGGGGAAUAUUGCACAAUGGGCGGAAGCCUGAUGCAGCGACGCCGCGUGAGGGAUGACGGCCUUCGGGUUGUAAACCUCUUUCAGCAGGGAAGAAGCCACAAGUGACGGUACCUGCAGAAGAAGCGCCGGCUAACUACGUGCCAGCAGCCGCGGUAAUACGUAGGGCGCAAGCGUUGUCCGGAAUUAUUGGGCGUAAAGAGCUCGUAGGCGGUUUGUCGCGUCUGCUGUGAAAGCCCGGGGCUCAGCCCCGGGUCUGCAGUGGGUACGGGCAGACUAGAGUGCAGUAGGGGAGACUGGAAUUCCUGGUGUAGCGGCGAAAUGCGCAGAUAUCAGGAGGAACACCGAUGGCGAAGGCAGGUCUCUGGGCUGUUACUGACGCUGAGGAGCGAAAGCAUGGGGAGCGAACAGGAUUAGAUACCCUGGUAGUCCAUGCCGUAAACGUUGGGCACUAGGUGUGGGGGACAUUCCACGUUCUCCGCGCCGCAGCUAACGCAUUAAGUGCCCCGCCUGGGGAGUACGG